rnacentral:rRNA from 1 species
GACGAACGCUGGCGGCGUGCUUAACACAUGCAAGUCGAACGGAAAGGCCCUGCUUUUGUGGGGUGCUCGAGUGGCGAACGGGUGAGUAACACGUGAGUAACCUGCCCUUGACUUUGGGAUAACUUCAGGAAACUGGGGCUAAUACCGGAUAGGAGCUCCUGCUGCAUGGUGGGGGUUGGAAAGUUUCGGCGGUUGGGGAUGGACUCGCGGCUUAUCAGCUUGUUGGUGGGGUAGUGGCUUACCAAGGCUUUGACGGGUAGCCGGCCUGAGAGGGUGACCGGCCACAUUGGGACUGAGAUACGGCCCCGAAUCCUACGGGAGGGAGCAGUGGGGAAUAAUGCACAAUGGGCGGAAGGCUGAUGCAGCAAAGCCGCGUGCGGGAUGACGGCCUUCGGGUUGUAAACCGCUUUCGCCUGUGACGAAGCGUGAGUGACGGUAAUGGGUAAAGAAGCACCGGCUAACUACGUG